GGAGGGGUGGCUGAGUGGACGAAGGCACACGCUUGGAAAGCGUGCGUAGGUUUACCCCUACCGCGGGUUCGAAUCCCGCCCCCUCCGCCA
rnacentral:tRNA from 3 species